GGAAGGGUGACCGAGUGGCUGAAGGUACUGGUCUUGAAAACCAGCAAGCGAAAGCUUCGUGGGUUCGAAUCCCACCCCUUCCG
rnacentral:tRNA from 1 species